AUUGGUCCAUUAAACCCAAAGUGGAACUUUACACUUUGAAAUGUGAAGUCAAUUAAAGAUUCUCAAGCAGUGAGCUUAUCUUAAAGUGAGUGUGAUUCCACUUCCCCUUCCUUUACAGAAGAGAAACUGGGUGACUUCACUGGUUUCAGAGGGACUGCUGAGUACAGCGCUGCUCGCUGUCUUUAAAAAAAGAAAACCAAACCACCCCAAAAAACUACCUUUGCAGUGUCGUCUUCCUCCUGGAAAGCUGUCUAUCCCUCACACCCAUGGAUAAGUCUGUCUGCAGGUGGCUCCAGGCUGGUGUAAAAAGCUUUCUGAAAAGCAGCUAGACCUUUCUUCCAGCCUGCCUUAAGGGAUUGAGUCUGACCUUUGUGGGCAUCACAUGGUACCAGGUGAAGAGUUACCCAGCAGUUAAAGAUGCCGGUGAUGAUUUGCUAGAGAUGUGUUAAGGCUUCAUGCGUGUAUGUGAAAUGGAUAAACUCCUCCGAUACUGAAGGCAAGGACAUGAGAUGCUCUCGCUGCACUCAGUAUGGCACAGAAACAGGAUUGAACCUUCGCCGUAGCCCUUCACUGCUGAGAGGGGAGAUGCACUCGAUCCUUGGCGUGGGGCUGCGGCAGAUCCUCCAAAGUUCAAAUCCCCAAAAUAAGUGACAUUUUGUCCUGAAUAAUGUUUCUUUAAUGAUAAGCAGAAGCAAAGAACAGAUCUUGGAGCCUGCUCAGCUGUGGGAGAGAAGCAAGGAAUCCAGC